rnacentral:rRNA from 1 species
CAGGCCUAACACAUGCAAGUCGAACGGGGGUAGCAAUACCUCAGUGGCGAACGGGUGCGUAACACGUGAAGAACUUGUCCAUCGGCGGGGGAUAGCCGGCCCAACGGCCGGGUAAUACCGCGUACGCCGUCUGAAGCGCAUGCUUCGGCCGGGAAAGCAGCAAUGCACCGAUGGAGAGCUUCGCGGCCUAUCAGCUAGUUGGCGGGGUAAUGGCCCACCAAGGCGACGACGGGUAGCUGGUCUGAGAGGAUGACCAGCCACAUUGGGACUGAGACACGGCCCAGACUCCUACGGGAGGCAGCAGUGGGGAAUAUUGCGCAAUGGGGGAAACCCUGACGCAGCGACGCCGCGUGUGGGAUGACGGCCUUCGGGUUGUAAACCACUGUCGCGAGGGACGAAAAAAAUGACGGUACCUCGAAAGGAAGCACCGGCUAACUCUGUGCCAGCAGCCGCGGUAAUAC